AAUUAUGAUGUUUCAAUUGAAUGUAUUGCAAAGCUAACAAAUCCAUAACAUGAUCUGGAUCACAUGGAUGAUCAUUUGGAAAAUGUGUUUCAGAGACCUCUGGGAAAAGUGAACAGGAUCUCCCUGUUAAUGUUGAUCUCCACUCCUUGCCAUUAAUUGUGAAAGCCAUCAUAUUACAACAGUAUAGCUCAAUUUCAACCUUGAACCUGGAGUACUCCAAAUCCAAAGGAAUGUGGAAUGGAGAGAAGGCAGCGUGGGGCCUGUCCAUCAUCUUGACCCAAGAAACUAUGUAGCUGUCUCAGAAUUACUCUAAAUGCUUAUUUGAACCUGGCUGAAACACUUGGCUGUUCACAAACAGACAGACCUAACUGUAAAUAGGCAGAAUGUCUGAAAAGAGUUGGCUGCUGUGCUGUUCCAAAGCACACAUUCUUUACUAAGAUGCUAAUCUUCCAAAAUGACUUUCUUCUACCCAAUUUGUGAAGCAGUGAGAAAAUCAACAAAAGAUUUUGGACCAACUGAAAUAUCUUUCAGGGUUGCCCAUGUUAUACUCUGGCAAGCCACUGGAGAAGCUUCUGUGUGUUGUUCAGCCUGUUCAUGCUGGCUCAAGAAAAAGGAGAGUUUUACAAACCAAUAAAUAAACUUAAAAUUUCUCAAC
rnacentral:lncRNA from 1 species